UACUCCCGUAGGGAAGCGAAGACCCCGUGGAGCUUAACUGCAGGCUGCUGUUGGGGUUUGAUUAACUAUGUAAAGUGUAGGCGGGAGCCUUCGAAGCCAAGCCGCUAGGUUUGGUGGAGGCACUCAUGUAACACCGCCCAUUGUUGACCGGAUCCCUAACUACUACGGUAGAACAGCAGUAGUUGGGCAGUUUCGCUGGGGCGGCAGCCCCUCGAAAAUUUAUCGAGGGGGUCCAAAGGUCGGCUUAGGCGGGUCAGAAAUCCGCCGUAAAGGACAAGGCCAGAAGCCGGCCUAACUGUGUCCUCCCCCAGGAGGACGCAGGGGCGAAAGCCGGGCCUAGCGAACCCCGAUGUCCCUCUUGUUGAGGGCUCGGGAUGACAGAAAAGCUACCCCGGGGAUAACAGAGUAGUCUCCCCCAAGAGCCCGUAUCGACGGGGAGGCUUGCUACCUCGAUGUCGGUUCUUCGCAUCCUGGCCGUGCAGCAGCGGCCAAGGGUAGGGUUGUUCGCCCGUUAAAGCGGAUCGUGAGCUGGGUUUAGACCGUCGUGAGACAGGUCGGACGCUAUCUUGCGGGAGUGAUGGAUGCCUGAGGGUAAGGUAGCUUCAGUACGAGAGGAACGAGUUGCCGGCGCCUCUAGUGCACCGGUUGCUCGAAAGGGCAUAGCCGGAUAGCCACGCGCCAGUCGAUAAGGCCUGAAAGCAUCUAAGGCCGAAGCGAUUCCCGAAAAUAGGCAUCCGAUCUUGACGAGUAUGCCGGGGCUGGUGACAGUCACGGUGCGUCAGGACAAAGACAGGGGCUAGAAGACCCCGUUGAUGGGCUGGGGGUGUAAGCGUGAAGCUUCAGCGACACGUUCAGCCCACCAGUCCCAACAGUCU
rnacentral:ncRNA from 1 species